CAAUGGGCGCAAGCCUGAUCCAGCCAUGCCGCGUGUGUGAAGAAGGCCCUCGGGUUGUAAAGCACUUUCAGCGAGGAAGAACGCCUAGCGGUUAAUACCCGCUAGGAAAGACAUCACUCGCAGAAGAAGCACCGGCUAACUCCGUGCCAGCAGCCGCGGUAAUACGGAGGGUGCAAGCGUUAAUCGGAAUUACUGGGCGUAAAGCGCGCGUAGGUGGCUUGAUAAGCCGGUUGUGAAAGCCCCGGGCUCAACCUGGGAACGGCAUCCGGAACUGUCAAGCUAGAGUGCAGGAGAGGAAGGUAGAAUUCCCGGUGUAGCGGUGAAAUGCGUAGAGAUCGGGAGGAAUACCAGUGGCGAAGGCGGCCUUCUGGACUGACACUGACACUGAGGUGCGAAAGCGUGGGUAGCAAACAGGAUUAGAUACCCUGGUAGUCCACGCCGUAAACGAUGUCGACCAGCCGUUGGGUGCCUAGCGCACUUUGUGGCGAAGUUAACGCGAUAAGUCGACCGCCUGGGGAGUACGGCCGCAAGGUUAAAACUCAAAUGAAUUGACGGGGGCCCGCACAAGCGGUGGAGCAUGUGGUUUAAUUCGAUGCAACGCGAAGAACCUUACCUACUCUUGACAUCCUGCGAAUUCGGUAGAGAUACCUUAGUGCCUUCGGGAACGCAGAGACAGGUGCUGCAUGGCUGUCGUCAGCUCGUGUUGUGAAAUGUUGGGUUAAGUCCCGUAACGAGCGCAACCCUUGUCCUUAUUUGCCAGCACGUAAUGGUGGGAACUCUAAGGAGACUGCCGGUGACAAACCGGAGGAAGGUGGGGACGACGUCAAGUCAUCAUGGCCCUUACGAGUAGGGCUACACACGUGCUACAAUGGCCGGUACAAAGGGUUGCCAACUCGCGAGAGUGAGCUAAUCCCGAAAAGCCGGUCUCAGUCCGGAUCGGAGUCUGCAACUCGACUCCGUGAAGUCGGAAUCGCUAGUAAUCGUGAAUCAGAAUGUCACGGUGAAUACGUUCCCGGGCCUUGUACACACCGCCCGUCACACCAUGGGAGUGGACUGCACCAGAAGU
rnacentral:rRNA from 1 species